rnacentral:sRNA from 1 species
AUAGCAAACAAAAACCCUACUAUAGUGUUAUGAAUACAAAGGACAUAUAUUCAUAGAAAGAAAAAUAGAGACCAAGCCCAAGUGCGCUCAAAUCGACAACGAGGUAUUUUAAUAAACACUGAGACAUAGUAUGUGCCAAUUGGUUAGUUUUUUCCAAAACUUGGGAUAUACGUACCAAUGUUCGACUCAACGAAAACGUUUUGUAUACAAACACCUUUUCUGCCUUCAACAUGCCACCCUUUUGCAUUCCCAUUUGGCCAGCAUUAGCCCUGAGUGGCUGCUUUCAGAUCCACAGCAUUGGUCAACACGAAUUCAACACCCUACACGCCUGCGGUAACGUGACCAUGAAUUUUAUCACUUUUAACAUUUUCAAUUGGUCCAUGGGCUGUAUGGAUAUCGGAACGGGAGGCAUACAAGCGGUAGAGCCCAAUCAUGAGGUUGUGAAUUCAAAUGAAACCGAGAAGCCACCAGAAAUUGAAUUGGUUACUAGCAAUUUUAGAAGAAGUAAAAACAUUACCUAAAAUGUA